UACGUGGGGGGCAAGCGUUGUUCGGAAUUACUGGGCGUAAAGGGCUCGUAGGCGGCCAACUAAGUCGGAUGUGAAAUCCCCAGGCUUAACCUGGGAACUGCAUCCGAUACUGGAUGGCUUGAAUCCGGGAGAGGGAUGCAGAAUUCCAGGUGUAGCGGUGAAAUGCGUAGAUAUCUGGAGGAAUACCGGUGGCGAAGGCGGCAUCCUGGACCGGCAUUGACGCUGAUGAGCGAAAGCUAGGGGAGCAAACGGG
rnacentral:rRNA from 1 species